rnacentral:misc_RNA from 1 species
GUUUUUGCUUGGGUGCAACAACUUUGAUUAAAAAUGGUAGCGGUGGUAUUAUUAUUCAAGGUAGGUAUAGAUCAAUGGGACUGAUUAUUUUCAUUUUGGGCUAAUUGCAUAUUUUAUGGUCAUAUGUAUGGGAAACAUUUAUUGUGGGAGGGAACAACGUAUCAGAGAGCGUGUGGAAUGUGAAUGUGGCAAUUUGAUGUUGUAGGGAGAUGCUUUAGCAGUGACGAGGGAUUAGGGUCUUAAGAAAACUCUGACAAUUUGGAAAUUUAGCCUAUUUGUAAUGCUCAAAGUACUAUAGAUAAUUGGACAAGCUGGGGAUUAUGAUCUAGUUGUCCUACAUAUCCUGUUCUUAAGUAUGAUCUACCUUCCUUGCAAAAUUGACCUCAUAUGGUAACUAGCUCUAGUUAGUAAAUCUUUUAGCACUGAUUGUACAUGUCGGAUUCUGAAUGUUAGAUGCAGACUCAAUUGCUGCACACUGUAUGGAACUAUUUCUGCACUCUUUG